UACGUAGGGGGCAAGCGUUGUCCGGAUUUAUUGGGCGUAAAGAGCGUGUAGGCGGCUUGGUAGGUCCGCUGUGAAAACUCGAGGCUCAACCUCGAGAUGUCGGCGGAAACCACUUGGCUAGAGUCCGGAAGAGGAGAGUGGAAUUCCUGGUGUAGCGGUGAAAUGCGUAGAUAUCAGGAGGAACACCUGUGGUGUAGACAGCUUACUGGACCAUUUCUGACGCUGAGACACGAAAGCGUGGGUAGCAAACAGG
rnacentral:rRNA from 1 species